rnacentral:rRNA from 1 species
GGGUUGUGAGGUUAAGCGACUAAGCGUACACGGUGGAUGCCCUGGCAGUCAGAGGCGAUGAAGGACGUGCUAAUCUGCGAUAAGCGUCGGUAAGGUGAUAUGAACCGUUAUAACCGGCGAUUUCCGAAUGGGGAAACCCAGUGUGAUUCGUCACACUAUCAUUAACUGAAUCCAUAGGUUAAUGAGGCGAACCGGGGGAACUGAAACAUCUAAGUACCCCGAGGAAAAGAAAUCAACCGAGAUUCCCCCAGUAGCGGCGAGCGAACGGGGAGCAGCCCAGAGCCUGAAUCAGUGUGUGUGUUAGUGGAAGCGUCUGGAAAGGCGCGCGAUACAGGGUGACAGCCCCGUACACAAAAAUACACAU